rnacentral:rRNA from 1 species
GAUGAACGCUGGCGGCGUGCCUAAUACAUGCAAGUCGAGCGAACAGACGAGGAGCUUGCUCCUCUGACGUUAGCGGCGGACGGGUGAGUAACACGUGGAUAACCUACCUAUAAGACUGGGAUAACUUCGGGAAACCGGAGCUAAUACCGGAUAAUAUAUUGAACCGCAUGGUUCAAUAGUGAAAGACGGUUUUGCUGUCACUUAUAGAUGGAUCCGCGCCGCAUUAGCUAGUUGGUAAGGUAACGGCUUACCAAGGCAACGAUGCGUAGCCGACCUGAGAGGGUGAUCGGCCACACUGGAACUGAGACACGGUCCAGACUCCUACGGGAGGCAGCAGUAGGGAAUCUUCCGCAAUGGGCGAAAUCCUGACGCAGCAACGCCGCGUGAGUGAUGAAGUUCUUCGGAUCGUAAAACUCUGUUAUUAGGGAAGAACAAAUGUGUAAGUAACUAUGCACGUCUUGACGGUACCUAAUCAGAAAGCCACGGCUAACUACGUG